ACAUGGCCACCUCUCGUUUGCCUCCAGCGACGCUAACGCUAAAGCAGUUCAUGAGAAGGCAACAAGUUCUCCUCCUCUACAGAAGGAUUUUGCGAGCCAUUCGACAAGUUCCAAAUGAUUGUGAUCGCAGAUACCUGAAAGACUGGGCGAGGGAAGAAUUCAAAAGAAACAAAAGUGCCACCGAAGAGGAUACCAUACGUAUGAUGAUUACGCAAGGCAAUAUGCAGCUAAAGGAGUUAGAAAAAACACUUGCUUUAGCAAAAUAACUAUACCUGUCUUCUGAAGGAUUUUCAAAUCUCCAAAGCCAGCCUAACAAGUUGCCAGUUAGCACCUGAAAGGAUGAUCACGUCAUCAGGGAAG